rnacentral:rRNA from 1 species
UACGUAGGGUGCGAGCGUUGUCCGGAUUUAUUGGGCGUAAAGAGCGUGUAGGCGGUCAGGUAGGUCCGUUGUGAAAACUCGAGGCUCAACCUCGAGACGCCGAUGGAAACCAUCUGACUAGAGUCCGGAAGAGGAGAGUGGAAUUCCUGGUGUAGCGGUGAAAUGCGCAGAUAUCGCUUGGAACGCCAAAGGUGAAAACAGGUUGCUGGGGUUGUGCCGACGCUGAGACACGAAAGCCAGGGGAGCAAACGGG